ACGAACGCUGGCGGCGUGCUUAACACAUGCAAGUCGAACGGAAAGGCCCUGCUUUUGUGGGGUGCUCGAGUGGCGAACGGGUGAGUAACACGUGAGUAACCUGCCCUUGACUUUGGGAUAACUUCAGGAAACUGGGGCUAAUACCGGAUAGGAGCUCCUGCUGCAUGGUGGGGGUUGGAAAGUUUCGGCGGUUGGGGAUGGACUCGCGGCUUAUCAGCUUGUUGGUGGGGUAGUGGCUUACCAAGGCUUUGACGGGUAGCCGGCCUGAGAGGGUGACCGGCCACAGUGGGACUGGGAUACGGCCCAGACUCCUACGGGAGGCAGAAGUGGGGAAUAUUGCACAAUGGGCGGAAGCCUGAUGCAGCAACGCCGCGUGCGGGAUGACGGCCUUCGGGUUGUAAACCGCUUUCGCCUGUGACGAAGCGUGAGUGACGGUAAUGGGUAGAGAGGCAGCGGCUAGGUAGGUG
rnacentral:rRNA from 1 species